CCCGGCACAAGCAGCGGAGCGUGUGGUUUAAUUCGAUGUUACACGAAGAACCUUACCUGGGUUUGACAUGCUAGUGGUAAUGAAGCGAAAGCUAAGUGACCCGCAAGGGAGCUAGCACAGGUGCUGCAUGGCUGUCGUCAGCUCGUGUCGUGAGAUGUUCGGUUAAGUCCGCUAACGAGCGCAACCCUCGUCGUAUGUUAUAUGUGUCAUACGAGACUGCCGGUAAAAGCCGGAGGAAGGUGAGGAUGAUGUCAAGUCAGCAUGACCUUUAUAUCCAGGGCUACACACACGCUACAAUGGUCUGUACAAUGGGUAGCCAAGCCGCGAGGCGGAGCCAAUCCUGAAAGCAGGCCUCAGUUCAGAUUGCAGUCUGCAACUCGACUGCAUGAAGCCGGAGUUGCUAGUAACCGCAGGUCAGCAAUACUGCGGUGAAUACGUUCCCGGGUCUU
rnacentral:rRNA from 1 species